rnacentral:rRNA from 1 species
CUGAUACAGCCAUGCCGCGUGAGGGAUGAAGGCCUUCGGGUUGUAAAGCUCUUUCGCCCGGAAAGAAAGGGUCGGGGCUAAACCCGGGGGGGUUGACGGCUCCGGGAAAGAAGCCCCGGCAUAUUUCCUGCCAGCAGCCCCGGUAAU